UAGGGAAUCUUCCGCAAUGGGGGAAAGCAUGACGGAGCAACGCCGCGUGAGUGAUGAAGGUCUUCGGAUCGUAUAACUCUGUUAUUAGGGAAGAACAAAUGUGUAAGUAACUAUGCACGUCUUGACGGUACCUAAUCAGAAAGCCACGGCUAACUACGUGCCAGCAGCCGCGGUAAUACGUAGGUGGCAAGCGUUAUCCGGGAUUAUUGGGCGUAAAGCGCGCGUAGGCGGUUUUUUAAGUCUGAUGUGAAAGCCCACGGCUCAACCGUGGAGGGUCAUUGGAAACUGGAAAACUUGAGUGCAGAAGAGGAAAGUGGAAUUCCAUGUGUAGCGGUGAAAUGCGCAGAGAUAUGGAGGAACACCAGUGGCGAAGGCGACUUUCUGGUCUGUAACUGACGCUGAUGUGCGAAAGCGUGGGGAUCAAACAGG
rnacentral:rRNA from 1 species